ACUGGAGGACUAAGAAGGCUGAGUCUGAUGAAGCAAGACUCUGCUGAUACAAUCCUCCUAGAAAAAAAGGGUUGGAGAGAGCAGCCCUCCGUGUGUUAUAGAAUAUCACAGGGUUGACUGUAUGACCCGACAUUC
rnacentral:snoRNA from 8 species